ACACCUCAACUCUCACGGUUUGCCGUGGUGAGCUUGGAUGUUGGGGGUUUUGCUGGCCUGUGGUUGGCUCCUCUCAAAUGAAUCAGCUUUCCAGUGUUUGGUGGCGCCAUGGGUGUGAUAACUAUCUACGCUCAUGACUUGUCUGCCAGGUAACCUUCCGCAACGGGGGUUUGCUGGAGCUCACAAAUGUCUCUCCUCAGUGAAGACAGCCUUUUGAAC
rnacentral:misc_RNA from 1 species